UAGUUGUUUAACUAUUGUAUCAACAAAAAAGAGUACAAAAAAAUAAAAUAAAAUAGUUCAUCUUUGUCUUAAAACCUAAAGAAAAUGUGAUCUUGUUUGUUGUAAGAUACCAAAGUUUUUAUUUUUGUGUUUGUUGCAUUUCAUUGUAGUCACCAUCAAUCGCCUCUCAUUAUUCCCUGAAGUGUCAGUUCUCAUAAUUAGU
rnacentral:lncRNA from 1 species